UACGUAGGGAGCAAGCGUUGUCCGGAAUUACUGGGUGUAAAGGGAGCGUAGGCGGGAUGGCAAGUUGGGUGUUAAAUCUACCGGCUCAACUGGUAGUCGCACUCAAAACUGCUAUUCUUGAGUGAAGUAGAGGCAGGCGGAAUUCCUAGUGUAGCGGUGAAAUGCGUAGAUAUUAGGAGGAACACCAGUGGCGAAGGCGACUUUCUGGACUGUACCUGACGCUGAGGCGCGAAGGCCAGGGGAGCGAAAGGG
rnacentral:rRNA from 1 species